GGGCGCUGUGCGAAGCUAGAAAUAACUGGGGGCAUGGAGAAUGCGGUGGCUGUAAAGGGCCGCUGAGGCGGUGGAGGCCUGGCAGAGAGCGUCCCCGCGGUCGCGGCUUCUGGCUUCUCUGUGGAGCUUGGUUCUUCCGUGGUGGUGCAGCACCCCAGGAACUUCAGGAACCAGUCCUUCCUUGGAGAGCUCCCCGGGACAGCCACGGGGGCCAAGUGAAACUAGCGCGUUUUCUUGGAUCCUACACUUUAUAGUGAGUCAUAAAUACUUUAAAUACAAAGCCAACAACAUUUGCUGCAAAUAAACGUAAAAAUACUGUUAAAGUGUAAAGUGUUUUCCUCCGUACCAUCUGACGUUUCUGGCGGUUCGUUGAACGCGAGAGAACGCUGAGCCGUCUGCACUGAGCCCGGGAGCAUCUUCAGGGCAGCGCCGCCCACGCGCGAGGUGAAUGAAGGACACGGCCUCUUGACACUCCCAGGCAGCACAGAUAGACGGAUCCAUCCCAGUUUCUGACCUGUAGCAUAGUCCCUCUCUCUGAAGAACUUCCUGUAAUAUUUUUUGCUAGGAAGAGUUUGAAGUUUGAAAUCCCAGAAUGAGGAAAUUCAUCCAGCUUGGAGACUUCCAAUCCCUUCAUUGUGCAGAAGGUUGCUAAUGCUCUCAGGAGAAGCCCUUCACCAAGAGAAUACUUCCACAUAGAGUCCUCUCCAUUGAGACUAAGGAAACAUGCUAUGUCAUGUAGCCACAGCAGCCUUUGCAGCUGUUGAAGGCAGCAAGACUUGCAUGGCAAUCAGAAGACACAGAACCAAGACUCAUAUCCAGUUAUAAGAUGGCAGAUGGGACACACACUCAUCAGGCUUAGUGAGCAGCCAAUCCAGAGGGAACCAUACUCAGCCCUAGGGGCUGGGCGCGGUGGCUCUCGCCUGUAAUCCCAGCACUUUGGGAGGCCAAGGCGGAUGGAUCACCUGAGGUCACGAGUUCAAGACCAGCCUGACCAACAUGGAGAAAUCCCAUCUCUACUAAAAAUACAAAAUUAGCUGGGCAUGGUGGUGCAUGCCUGUAAUCCCAGUUACUCGGGAGGCUGAGGCAGGAGAAUCACUCGAACCCGAGAGGCAGAGGUUGUGGUGAGCUGAGAUUGUGCCAUUGCACUCCAGUCUGGGCAACAAGAGUGAAACUCUGUCUC
rnacentral:lncRNA from 1 species